CGGCGUGCCUAAUACAUGCAAGUCGAGCGAGCGGGAACCAACAGAUUUACUUCGGUAAUGACGUUGGGAAAGCGAGCGGCGGAUGGGUGAGUAACACGUGGGGAACCUGCCCCUAAGUCUGGGAUACCAUUUGGAAACAGGUGCUAAUACCGGAUAAUAAAGCAGAUCGCAUGAUCAGCUUUUGAAAGGCGGCGUGAGCUAUCGCUUUGCGAUGGGUCUGCGUCUGAUUAGCUAGUUGGUGGGGCAACGGCCUACCAAGGCGACGAUCAGUAGCCGGUCUGAGAGGAUGAACGGCCACAUUGGAACUGAGACACGGUCCAGACUCCUACGGGAGGCAGCAGUGGGGAAUCUUCCGCAAUGGGCGAAAGCCUGACGGAGCAACGCCGCGUGAGUGAAGAAGGUCUUCGGAUCGUAAAGCUCUGUUGUCGGGGACGAAUGUUGAGACCUAGAACAUAGGUUUCAAAUGACGGUACCUGACGAGGAAGCCACGGCUAACUACGUG
rnacentral:rRNA from 1 species